rnacentral:snoRNA from 1 species
AUCCUUUUGUGGUUCAUAAGCAUGAUGAAUGGGCGUUCACAUAUUUGUGUGGAAUGCGCUUCCCUCAAACCUUGUUAGGACGUUGGCACAUUUCCCGUCUGACA